AAGAUACUUUUAGGGAUCAUUUUUAAAGUGUGCAUCUUGAAAACGUUAUCUAAAUAUGGCGAUUCCUCAGCUAUGAUGUUGAGUUAAAGGAAGACCUUCUUAAGAACUACUGAGGAUUUUUUUUUCGGAAAUUCAAAGGAGAAAGAAAUCUUUCACUGAGUAGU
rnacentral:snoRNA from 1 species